UGAACGCUGGCGGCGUGCCUAAUACAUGCAAGUCGAGCGAACAGACGAGGAGCUUGCUCCUCUGACGUUAGCGGCGGACGGGUGAGUAACACGUGGAUAACCUACCUAUAAGACUGGGAUAACUUCGGGAAACCGGAGCUAAUACCGGAUAAUAUAUUGAACCGCAUGGUUCAAUAGUGAAAGACGGUUUUGCUGUCACUUAUAGAUGGAUCCGCGCCGCAUUAGCUAGUUGGUAAGGUAACGGCUUACCAAGGCAACGAUGCGUAGCCGACCUGGGGGGGUGAUCGGCCACACUGGAACUGAGACACGGUCCAGACUCCUACGGGAGGCAGCAGUAGGGAAUCUUCCGCAAUGGGCGAAAGCCUGACGGAGCAACGCCGCGUGAGUGAUGAAGGUCUUCGGAUCGUAAAACUCUGUUAUUAGGGAAGAACAAAUGUGUAAGUAACUAUGCACGUCUUGACGGUACCUAAUCAGAAAGCCACGGCUAACUACGUG
rnacentral:rRNA from 1 species